AAUAGGCACAAGAACUUGCAUAGUGGUGUGCUGACUUUAUAGUUGAAGGUUUGAACUCAGCACUAAUCUCCAGGGAAACUUCAACAUGAAAUUCAUCUGCCACUGCACAUCCCAGGCAUGAAGCACAGCCCUCACCAUUUGUUACUUUGGUUAUUUGAAAUCAGAAUUUCUGAAAUUUGUUUUCUUCUUUGACGUCCAUUUUUGUCUUCAUUAUGUUGGUGCAAAUGCAAAGAGGAAUGGGCUUACCUGUGUCUGCUGGAAAAAGAUCAAAAAAGCAAAACUCUUCUGCAAAGGUAGCUGACUUGCAAAGCUGCAGCAGGUUGACAAUGUGUCUGAAACAUCUAUUCAACGUGAAAAUAUAAGCUAUGUCAUGCUUCUCUGUGGCAAGGAUGUGCACUAAAGAAGGUCCAUGGACCAGCUAUCUCAAGACAGGGCAUUCCUCACCAAAGAACUCAGGUGACUUUGGAGUUUAUAAUGAUCGUUCAACAUUAAAAACAUUUUCAGCUAAGAGGAAAAAGAAGCAAGUUCACGUGCUUUUUGGGUAAGAACAAAGGUGACUCACAAUUGCUUCUAUUCCCCCAUGACAAAUGGGAAGACUGAGGGGAAAAAUGAAGCAGUGCUACUGUUGGUGGCAGUGAAGUAAAAUGAAUGACCCAUAGAUUUUUCACUGAAGGCUCUUCACAGAGGCACGCUGAGCAGAUUGGCCAGGAGAAGAGAUCUCCAACUUGCUCUGAAGGUGAGAAGGAACCAAGAGAGAGCCUUCUCUGAGUGGAAGCCAGGCAGAGAGCUCUCACAAGACAGUGCUUGGCAGAUGCAAUCAAUCACCAUUCCAGCAUGUGCAGCUCCGGACUACAUGGCACAACUUCCACUUGCCCAGUGGGGAUGGGAAGACAUAUAGGAAACAAAGGAUUAUGAUAUUCUAGGUAGGAACGGAGACAAAAGAGAGGCCCAAAGAUGAUGAGAACUGUUCAGAUCUGCCCUGCCAUCUCUCAUUAUACAGAAUCAUGUUCUUCUUUCAUCCAUGUUGUCCAGCAGACUUCAUAGCUGGUUUUCUCAAUUACUUGUACAAGACUCUGUCUAUAGCUACAUAUUACCACUACUGCAGACAGACUUCUAGCUAGGAAGAACAAGAAAGACAUAAUCCAACUGGAACAUCUUCUAUAAAGAAUCCGGAAUAUAUUGGCUAGGAAGAGCAAUCCUUUCCUGUGCAAGCAGGUAGUCUGUGGGGAGGAAAAGGCAGCCUGAGUUAUGCUUUUGUGUUUGUCUGGUUUUGACUACUUGAAGUCUUCUGGGGUAUGUGAAAUCACUGUAAAGACUGAGCACCCUGUGACUGCCAGGUAUGAUGUGACAAUUACUUCCCAUCAGUAGCAGAAACCGAUUGAGAUAAUGAUAUCAGUUGCUUUUUUUAAAAAAAUCAAACAUCUUUGAAGAGUAGUUAGACUGAAAUGAUCAACACAGAAGUGCAACAUAUUGGAUGAGGAAUGCCUUAUUUAAUAUAGGUUUUAAAAACAGGGCACUUUCUGUAGAUGCCACUUCUAAAACAUUUGACAAGAACCUUCAGCCGUUCCAGCUCUGAAGGGAGUGACAAGCCAUGCCCUGUAAGGUUAUCCACAGAGGUAAUUUCCUGUAAUUCUGCAAGCUCACUCAAAUCAAUAAACUGUAUAUAUGUAUUUAAAUGUUUGCAAGGUCAAGAACUUAACACCUAACAUACCUGCUUCAGAGGGGUCACAGUAAGUCCUUUUUAUUUAGGAAACAGCUGAUAAAACUAAGUCUUUUACCCACUCUUAACAUGGUAUCUCCAUUUUUUUCAACUCUGUGGCAUUAAUUUUUUGAAGACUAUAAAAUGACAAAUGAUAACAGUCAAGUUAUGGGCACAUACCUGUAGCCUUACUGGAGAAAUUAUGUUUUGAACAGUAUAUAAAUUAAGACAGUAUUUUCCAGAGGACUAAAUGGAGAGUAACUUGACGUUUCUGUUAUGGAUGCACUGAACUUGAGACACUAGCAAUUUUAUAAGGUUUUGUAAGCACAUUGUAUGUUAUGGAGGCCCAAUGAGACUGCUGAGAAGAACUGCUCCUUUUGCCUCAAUGCUGCCACUAAACCCAUGCAGCAGUUUUUGCAGGUGAUAUGGUCUCUGCAGAAUGUAAGGAUCAUUAUGUUUUGUGCUCAUCUGCACAGGUGUUGCAGCAAUACUUCAUAGUUCAGUGCAACCACUGUCCAAAAGGUCCAAAUUGAGGGCUUGAAUUAGGCGAUUCGAUGGUGGUGCUGCUUGUGCACAGUGGCACAAGGCUCCAUCUAUAUAUUUUUAAAAUUGUCGUUGAGCCUUUCCUUACGUACUUUCUUCUACAGUGUCUCUAGAGUUUUCUGUUGUCACCCGAAGAACUUUUUUUUUUUUUUCUGAGUUUCCUCAGACUGGAAUAAACGGGUUUUUUUCCUUCUUUGAUUAAAUAAAGCAUUUCCACUGCUGAGUGCUG
rnacentral:lncRNA from 7 species